AUGGAAGUAGAUCAUGAAAAUUUGAUGCCAACCGAACAAGUGGAAGAACAAACUACAAAUUUCGUCGAAGCUACAAUGGAAGAGAAUGUUGAAGUUCAUGGGAUUGAAGGUAUAACUAUUUUUAGUGAAGAUUACAUAAAGGGUGAUCCAGGACUUCGCAUUCCACUUGAUAGUUUUGCCCCCAACAUUAGAGAUGAUGUUAGAUUUGCUUAUAUACGAAUGGGUGCAACUCAACCAACUAGUUGCACUUUCCCCCCAAAUAGAGAUGGAAGAUGCUUCCGGCCACAAUGGUAUAAGGCUUUGAUUGGUUGGAAUAUAGUGUAA
rnacentral:rRNA from 1 species